GAUGAAGAACGUAGCGAAAUGCGAUAAGUAAUGUGAAUUGCAGAAUUCAGUGAAUCAUCGAAUCUUUGAACGCACAUUGCGCCCGCCAGUAUUCUGGCGGGCAUGCCUGUCUGAGCGUCAUUUCAACCCUCAUGCCCCUAGGGCGUGGUGUUGGGGAUCGGCCAAAGCCCGCGAGGGACGGCCGGCCCCUAAAUCUAGUGGCGGGCCCGUCGUGGCCUCCUCUGCGAAGUAGUGAUAUUCCGCAUCGGAGAGCGACGAGCCCCUGCCGUUAAACCCCCAACUUUCCAAGGUUGACCUCAGAUCAGGUAGGAAUACCCGCUGAACUUAAGCAUAUCAAUAAGCGGAGGA
rnacentral:misc_RNA from 1 species